CGAAUAGCUGGGAACGCACGCGGACAACUGAGAAUGCAUAUGGAUAGCUGAGAAUUUACAGUGAUAUUGCUUUUUGAUUCUUUGAUAUCAGCUCUUCUUAUCAUACUAAUCAGAAUUACAGUAAGUGUUGAAUAGUUCACUUGUCAACAGAGAAUAUGAGCUGAAUUAGGUUUAUGUGAGAUAGAUUAGUUUUACUCUACUAAUGAAGAUUGCUGCAAUGAUAAUUCAAUUUAGUAUGAGAGAAAUCCUUGAUUCAGAUAAUUAAUUUUUGUGGCUCUCUGAUCGGGGUAGUGGUGGCGACACUAUAAUCUACUCAAUUAUGACCGGAUGUCUCUAAGUCAGAAUCUAUACUGAAACACGGCAAUGUUGCCCCCCCUUGUUGUCGUUGAAUAUGAAAGGGGCCCUCGGGCUCAGCAUCUGAGCAGAACGGCGUCAGCGUCUGAGGAGAAACCCCGGGUGUCAGCCAGUGAAUUGCAAUGUCACCACGCGCAGGGAUAGAUCGUCUGCAGAUAACUGAAAUGAUCAAGCGGGUCGUGUAAGCAGUCUAGUGACCUUGUUGUUACGAGUCGCUGAGCGUCUGCCCUAUCCUUUGGGUUGAUUU
rnacentral:ncRNA from 1 species